ensembl:lncRNA novel transcript
UCCAGGUCCAGCACACAAACUCACAGUAAUGAAUUCAUGAAUAACUCAUUGAUUACAGUUCAGGAAACGGCCUCAGAGAGGUGAGGAGACGCCCACAGUCGCGUGGCAUGGUGCACCUGUGUUCUGAACUGUCACUUGCCUCUCCCUGUGAGCCUCUCUUUACUCUGCCUUGUCUUCUUGUCCUGGGGCAAGAAGUUAGGGUUCAAGACCCUUCGGGAUGUGAGGAUGUUUCUGCCACUCUGGACAUUAGUUUUCUCCCCUAAGUGGCUCUAUCUCUCCCGGCCUGAGUUUGGAAGGGAGACACCAUUCUGGUACGACUUUUCUUAGGCCUGUGCUGCCAUCUAUGGGGCUCGAAGGUGCUCGCCAUGCUCCAGACCGGCCACCUGGCAGUCAGGUGAGCUUGCAAGUGUGAAGAGCAGCGGGAUGCGGGGGAGGGAGCAAGCCCAGUAACAAAUAAAGCAAAUAUCAUCGGC